rnacentral:sRNA from 1 species
UCCACAGCCAGGUGCUCUGGACAUGCGCAGUCCGGGAUUCUCGGCGGGCCUGGCGCCUUCCCGGGCCGCGCGCGCGCCGCCUCUCGUGGAGCGCGGACAAGGUGACCAGCGCAUGCGCUAGAGGCCGCCAUGAGGAAGUCGCAUGGAUCCCAGAGUUAGAGGCGGACCUGGAAUUCCAGGACAGCCAGAAACCCUGUCUCCAAAACCAAACCAACCAAACAACCAGCCGACAACAAAGAAGCAUCCUGGUGUGAAGGAAACUGCUUAGGCAGUGACAGGCAGCAUGAAACUGCUUCUGGCUCAAGUCCUGGUGUGGCUGACAAUUAUUGGGACAUACAUGGCUGGUGCAGGCACGACGACAGUUCAAUGGAACUGAAGACCUGGAAAAGAAGGGCGCCGUGGUUUUCUUCAAACCUGCUGAGUCAUCUGACCCCAUGUCUUCCGUCUCCACCAUCUGAGCGCUGCCAAGCCUGCCUGGCUGAUUUCCUUUCAACUGAUCUUUCUCCGGUGCUCAGGAACUACUCCGAUAGAAUUCAAGCUUUCAGGCGGCCAGGCCAGGCCCUUUGCCGCUGGCCUUUGCUGGACUGAUCGGUGCCUUUCUUAGCCGCCAUUUUCCCCGAGCAGGAAACCCUCAGGGCAUCAUGCUGUCACUAUCUAGGCCAGGCUAGCCAGCUGCUCUCUCACAGUCACCGGCUGGGGAGACCCCUGCAGUGUCCAUCCCCACGGCUGACUGUUAUCAGCAGGCCUGUCACCAGGCCAGGCCGUGACAGCGCCGUCCACAGAUGAGUGCCCAGCCCGGGACAGCUGUGGCAGCUUUCUCAGUCAUAGAUCAUCUGCCAGGCCACCUUCCAAGGAAUAGAAAGGCCUGACUGGCUCAGCAGUAAGGUAAAGGACACUUUACUGUGUGUGAGGCACUAGGCUCCAGCCUCAGCACACACAGACAGACAAAUGCACGGAGAACAAAGAAACAGAUUCAGGGAGGGGAAGGAUAGUCUACAGGCAUGACUUUCUGGUUUGUUCCAGCCUCGUUCUUCCUCCAGAGAGUUCCAGAGAGGCCGGCCUCUACCUCUAUGGGAGGAGGGACCUUGCAAUGUUUACUGUUCUCGAGGAGGUGGAACCUGGAAGAAUGGAUCCUAAAAAUGAGGAGGUCUGGGGCUGGAGAGAUGGCUCAGUGGUUAAGAGCACUGAUUGUUCUUCCAGAGGUCCUGAGUUCAAUUCCC